rfam:Glycine soja cultivar W05 scaffold5109_2, whole genome shotgun sequence.
GUUCCGGGGUGAAGAAUUUGAAUCAAAUUCACAUGGCAGAGGUUUUUGAAUCAAUGAGAAUGACAAUUCUGUUACUGAGCAAAAU